UACGUAGGGUGCAAGCGUUAAUCGGAAUUACUGGGCGUAAAGCGUGCGCAGGCGGUUUUGUAAGUCAGAUGUGAAAUCCCCGGGCUUAACCUGGGAACUGCGUUUGAAACUACAAGGCUAGAGUGUGACAGAGGGGGGUGGAAUUCCACGUGUAGCAGUGAAAUGCGUAGAGAUGUGGAGGAACACCGAUGGCGAAGGCAGCCCCCUGGGUUAACACUGACGCUCAUGCACGAAAGCGUGGGGAGCAAGCAGG
rnacentral:rRNA from 1 species